AGCAGUAGGGAAUCUUCCACAAUGGACGCAAGUCUGAUGGAGCAACGCCGCGUGAGUGAAGAAGGUCUUCGGAUCGUAAAACUCUGUUGUUAGAGAAGAACACGAGUGAGAGUAACUGUUCAUUCGAUGACGGUAUCUAACCAGCAAGUCACGGCUAACUACGUGCCAG
rnacentral:rRNA from 1 species